rnacentral:ncRNA from 1 species
GCAGAGUAAGCUUGUGUGCGUUGUACCGUGAAAUGCGGUACAUAGUGUCAUGCGAACGGGGAGUUGUCGCAUGAACGAAAAGAGUACUUGCGAUACACAGGCUGCAUCCCGCUG